UUACUUCUGGACUUCGUAAAAGAUUUAGUAUGCAUUUCUAUCCACACCCAUCUCUUCCCCCCACUUUUAACCCCCACAGGAAGAGGAUUAGACUGUAAGGCACGACUGUCCAAUCCGUAGCCCUCCAGACUAUUUUGGACUACAGUCACCAUCAGGCCUAUUCAGCAUGGCUAAUGGUGAGGGAUGGUGGGAGCUGUGGACCAACUUCAUCUACAAAGCCAUGAGUUGUCCAUCUUUCUUCUAAAGCCAUGACCAUAUAGAUGGUCUUCUGGAACAAAGAGCAUUAUCUUGUAAAUCAAGACUGAUCUGAAAUACUACUCCAACCACCACCCUCUUCGUCGCCAUACUUGGUCACAAUGGUGGGCUUGUCUGAAACUGGAGAGUACAGAAUAUGCCACCGUCGCUGCCUAUGUGUCUUGUGAAUGGAGGUGUCCAUUGCUGAAUCAACCUAACAGGCAGGGUCUGGAAAAGUUACUCUUUUGGACCACAACGCUGACAGUUCCUACCACCUGGGGAUUGUGGGAGUUGUAGUCCCACCUGCAAACCCUUCUGAAGCUCUGCUAACCAGCUACUUGUGCUAACAUGCAUUCCUGACAGACAGCGCUUUGUAAUAAAACAUGUGGUCUGAUUGUUCCUUUAAAUGAA
rnacentral:lncRNA from 1 species